CCGCAUGCAUACAAGCAGUGGGAGCCGGCUUAGUCCGGUGACUGCGUACCUUUUGUAUAAUGGGUCAGCGACUUAUAUUCAGUAGCAAGGUUGACCGCAUAGGGGAGCCGUAGGGAAACCGAGUCUUAAUAGGGCGUUUAGUUGCUGGGUAUAGACCCGAAACCGGGUGAUCUAUCCAUGAGCAGGUUGAAGGUUAGGUAACACUGACUGGAGGACCGAACCCACUGUCGUUGAAAAGCCAGGGGAUGACUUGUGGAUAGGGGUGAAAGGCUAAUCAAACUCGGUGAUAGCUGGUUCUCCCCGAAAGCUAUUUAGGUAGCGCCUCGGACGAAUACCAUUGGGGGUAGAGCACUGUUUCGGCUAGGGGGUCAUCCCGACUUACCAAACCGAUGCAAACUCCGAAUACCAAUGAGUACUAUCCGGGAGACAGACUGCGGGUGCUAACGUCCGUAGUCAAGAGGAAAACAAUCCAGACCGCCAGCUAAGGCCCCUAAAUUAUAGUUAAGUGGGAAACGAUGUGGGAAGGCAUAGACAGCUAGGAGGUUGGCUUAGAAGCAGCCACCCUUUAAAGAAAGCGUAAUAGCUCACUAGUCGAGUCGGCCUGCGCGGAAGAUGUAACGGGGCUAAAACUAUAUGCCGAAGCUGCGGAUGCAUAAUUUAUUAUGCGUGGUAGGGGAGCGUUCUGUAAGCCGAUGAAGGUGGAUUGAGAAGUCUGCUGGAGGUAUCAGAAGUGCGAAUGCUGACGUGAGUAACGACAAAGCGGGUGAAAAACCCGCUCGCUGAAAGACCAAGGGUUCCAGUCCAACGUUAAUCGGGGCUGGGUGAGUCGACCCCUAAGGCGAGGCCGAGAGGCGUAGUCGAUGGGAAAUUGGUUAAUAUUCCAAUACUUCUGUUUAAUGCGAUGAGAGGACGGAGAAGGUUAAGUCAGCCUGGCGUUGGUUGUCCAGGUGGAAGGUUGUAGGCAUGUAUCUUAGGCAAAUCCGGGGUACUCUAUGCUGAGAACUGAUAGCAAGCUGUACUUGUACAGUGAAGUGGCUGAUACCAUACUUCCAGGAAAAGUCUCUAAGCUUCAGUUAAACAGGAAUCGUACCCGAAACCGACACAGGUGGUCAGGUCGAGUAGACCAAAGCGCUUGAGAGAACUCUGCUGAAGGAACUAGGCAAAAUGGUACCGUAACUUCGGGAGAAGGUACGCUGCCGGCGGUGAUAGGACUUGCUCCUUGAGCUGUUGGCAGCCUCAGAAACCAGGCCCCUGCAACUGUUUAUUAAAAACAUAGCACUCUGCAAACACGAAAGUGGACGUAUAGGGUGUGAUGCCUGCCCGGUGCUGGAAGGUUAAUUGAUGUGGUUAGCGCAAGCGAAGCUAUUGAUCGAAGCCCCAGUAAACGGCGGCCGUAACUAUAACGGUCCUAAGGUAGCGAAAUUCCUUGUCGGGUAAGUUCCGACCUGCACGAAUGGCAUAAUGAUGGGGGCGCUGUCUCCAGCAGAGGCUCAGUGAAAUCGAAAUCGCCGUGAAGAUGCGGUGUACCCGCGGCUAGACGGAAAGACCCCGUGAACCUUUACUGCAGCUUGACAUUGAACUUUGAUCUUACUUGUGUAGGAUAGGUGGGAGGCUUUGAAGUGGCGACGCUAGUUGCCAUGGAGCCGUCCUUGAAAUACCACCCUGGUAAUAUUGAGGUUCUAACUCUGUCCCGUUAUCCGGGACGAGGACCAUGUCUGGUGGGUAGUUUGACUGGGGCGGUCUCCUCCUAAAGAGUAACGGAGGAGUACGAAGGUGCGCUCAGCGUGGUCGGAAAUCACGCGUAGAGUAUAAAGGCAAAAGCGCGCUUAACUGCGAGACCCACAAGUCGAGCAGGUACGAAAGUAGGUCUUAGUGAUCCGGUGGUUCUGUAUGGAAGGGCCAUCGCUCAACGGAUAAAAGUACUCUGGGGAUAACAGGCUGAUACCGCCCAAGAGUUCAUAUCGACGGCGGUGUUUGGCACCUCGAUGUCGGCUCAUCUCAUCCUGGGGCUGAAGCAGGUCCCAAGGGUAUGGCUGUUCGCCAUUUAAAGAGGUACGCGAGCUGGGUUUAGAACGUCGUGAGACAGUUCGGUCCCUAUCUACCGUGGGCGCUGGAAAUUUGAGAGGAUCUGCUCCUAGUACGAGAGGACCAGAGUGGACGAACCUCUGGUGUACCGGUUGUGACGCCAGUCGCAUCGCCGGGUAGCUAUGUUCGGAAGGGAUAACCGCUGAAAGCAUCUAAGCGGGAAGCCUACCUCAAGAUAAGAUUUCCCUGUGACUUUAUGUCACCUAAAGAGCCGUUGAAGACUACGACGUUGAUAGGUUGGAUGUGGAAGUGUAGCGAUACAUGAAGCUGACCAAUACUAAUUGCUCGUGAGGCUUGACUAUACAACACCCAAACAGUUG
rnacentral:rRNA from 1 species